rnacentral:rRNA from 1 species
AGUGAACGCUGGCGGCGUGCUUAACACAUGCAAGUCGAACGAGAACGGAAUAUAGCUUGCUAUAUUUGUCAGCUAAGUGGCGCACGGGUGAGUAAUGUAUAGAUAACCUGCCCUUAAGAAAGGAAUAACAGUUGGAAACGACUGCUAAUGCCCUAUAUGCCUUUAAUACAUAAGUAAGCAAGGGAAACGCUUUAGUGCUUAAGGAUGGGUCCGUAUGGUAUCAGCUUGUUGGUGAGGUAAUGGCUCACCAAGGCUAUGACGCCUAACUGGUUUGAGAGGAUGAUCAGUCACACUGGAACUGAGACACGGUCCAGACUCCUACGGGAGGCAGCAGUGGGGAAUAUUGCACAAUGGACGAAAGUCUGAUGCAGCAACGCCGCGUGGAGGAUGACACAUUUCGGUGCGUAAACUCCUUUUAUAUAGGAAGAUAAUGACGGUACUAUAUGAAUAAGCACCGGCUAACUCCGUGCCAGCAGCCGCGGUAA